ACGAGCUUAGGUCUGCCCUGCCCAUCCCAGCUCAGGAGCAGGGCGAGCACCGAGGUGGCGAGCGCCAGGGGGACCGGGCCUCCCACCUCGUAUAUGGCAAAGUUUCUCGCGGCGCUUCUGGGCUGCACGCUGCCGAGCAAGGGCGCCUCUUCCAUGCUGGAGUCGAAAAGCCAUUCCCAAGUUGGCCUGAAAUCAAGCACAAAGCAAAAGGGCACCAUUUUUAGCACACUGGCUGGUGAGAAGUCCUCAUCGGACUACAAAAAGGUAAGAAGUGGGCGUGUG